AACUUAGGAGGCGAGCGUUAUCCGGAUUUACUGGGCGUAAAGCGCGUGCAGGCGGUACGUUAAGUCGUGCGUGAAAGCUCCCAGGCUUAACCGGGAGAGGUCGUGCGAAACUGGCGCACUUGAGGUUGAGAGAGGCAAGUGGAAUUCCGGGUGUAGUGGUGAAAUGCGUAGAGAUCCGGAGGAACACCAGUGGCGAAGGCGGCUUGCUGGCUCACACCUGACGCUCAGACGCGAAAGCAUGGGGAGCGAACGGG
rnacentral:rRNA from 1 species